rnacentral:rRNA from 1 species
UACGAAGGGGGCUAGCGUUGCUCGGAACUACUGGGCGUAAAGCGCACGUAGGCGGCUUUCUAAGUCGGGGGUGAAAUCCUGGAGCUCAACUCCAGAACUGCCUUCGAUACUGGAGAGCUCGAGUCCGGGAGAGGUGAGUGGAACUGCGAGUGUAGAGGUGAAAUUCGUAGAUAUUCGCAGGAACACCAGUGGCGAAGGCGGCUCACUGGUCCGGUACUGACGCUGAGGUGCGAAAGCGUGGGGAGCAAACAGG